GGACGAACGCUGGCGGCGUGCUUAACACAUGCAAGUCGAACGAAGAGCGAUGGAAGCUUGCUUCUAUCAAUCUUAGUGGCGAACGGGUGAGUAACGCGUAAUCAACCUGCCCUUCAGAGGGGGACAACAGUUGGAAACGACUGCUAAUACCGCAUACGAUCUAAUCUCGGCAUCGAGGAUAGAUGAAAGGUGGCCUCUACAUGUAAGCUAUCACUGAAGGAGGGGAUUGCGUCUGAUUAGCUAGUUGGAGGGGUAACGGACAACCAAGGCGAUGAUCAGUAGCCGGUCUGAGAGGAUGAACGGCCACAUUGGGACUGAGACACGGCCCAGACUCCUACGGGAGGCAGCAGUGGGGAAUCUUCCGCAAUGGACGAAAGUCUGACGGAGCAACGCCGCGUGAGUGAUGACGGCCUUCGGGUUGUAAAGCUCUGUUAAUCGGGACGAAAGGCCUUCUUGCGAACAGUUAGAAGGAUUGACGGUACCGGAAUAGAAAGCCACGGCUAACUACGUG
rnacentral:rRNA from 1 species